UGGGGAAUAUUGGACAAUGGGCGCAAGCCUGAUCCAGCCAUACCGCGUGGGUGAAGAAGGCCUUCGGGUUGUAAAGCCCUUUUGUUGGGAAAGAAAUCCAGCUGGCUAAUACCCGGUUGGGAUGACGGUACCCAAAGAAUAAGCACCGGCUAACUUCGUGCCAGCAGUCGCGGUAAUACGAAGGGUGCAAGCGUUACUCGGAAUUACUGGGCGUAAAGCGUGCGUAGGUGGUCGUUUAAGUCCGUUGUGAAAGCCCUGGGCUCAACCUGGGAACUGCAGUGGAUACUGGGCGACUAGAGUGUGGUAGAGGGUAGCGGAAUUCCUGGUGUAGCAGUGAAAUGCGUAGAGAUCAGGAGGAACAUCCAUGGCGAAGGCAGCUACCUGGACCAACACUGACACUGAGGCACGAAAGCGUGGGGAGCAAACAGGAUUAGAUACCCUGGUAGUCCACGCCCUAAACGAUGCGAACUGGAUGUUGGGUGCAAUUUGGCACGCAGUAUCGAAGCUAACGCGUUAAGUUCGCCGCCUGGGGAGUACGGUCGCAAGACUG
rnacentral:rRNA from 1 species